AACACGUGGAUAAUCUACCCGACAGUCAGGGAUAACAUUUCAAAAGGAAUGCUAAUACCUGAUAAGCCUACGCCCUCCUCGGAGGAAGUAGGAAAAGGUGGGGACCUUCGGGCCUGCCGUUGUUGGAUGAGUCCGCGGCCCAUUAGCUAGUUGGUAGGGUAAUGGCCUACCAAGGCUACGAUGGGUAGCUGGUCUGAGAGGAUGAUCAGCCACACUGGAACUGAGACACGGUCCAG
rnacentral:rRNA from 1 species